rnacentral:rRNA from 1 species
CAAGGUUGAAACUCAAAGGAAUUGACGGGGGCCCGCACAAGCGGUGGAGCAUGUGGUUUAAUUCGAAGCAACGCGAAGAACCUUACCAGGUCUUGACAUCCUUUGACCACUCUAGAGAUAGAGCUUUCCCUUCGGGGACAAAGUGACAGGUGGUGCAUGGUUGUCGUCAGCUCGUGUCGUGAGAUGUUGGGUUAAGUCCCGCAACGAGCGCAACCCUUAUUGUUAGUUGCCAUCAUUUAGUUGGGCACUCUAGCGAGACUGCCGGUGACAAACCGGAGGAAGGUGGGGAUGACGUCAAAUCAUCAUGCCCCUUAUGACCUGGGCUACACACGUGCUACAAUGGGAAGUACAACGAGUCGCUAGACCGCGAGGUCAUGCAAAUCUCUUAAAGCUUCUCUCAGUUCGGAUUGCAGGCUGCAACUCGCCUGCAUGAAGCCGGAAUCGCUAGUAAUCGCGGAUCAGCACGCCGCGGUGAAUACGUUCCCGGGCCUUGUACACACCGCCCGUCACACCACGAGAGUUUGUAACACCCGAAGUCGGUGAGGUAACCUUUUUGGAGCCAGCCGCCUAAGGUGGGAUAGAUGAUUGGGGUGAAGUCGUAACAAGGUAGCCGUAUCGGAAGGUGCGGCUGGAUCACCUCCUUUCUAAGGAA